AUUGAACGCUGGCGGCAGGCCUAACACAUGCAAGUCGAACGAGUGGCGGACGGGUGAGUAAUGUCUGGGAAACUGCCCGAUGGAGGGGGAUAACUACUGGAAACGGUAGCUAAUACCGCAUACCAUCGGAUGUGCCCAGAUGGGAUUAGCUAGUAGGUGGGGUAAAGGCUCACCUAGGCGAUGAUCCCUAGCUGGUCUGAGAGGCGGACCAGCAACACUGGAACUGGAACACGGUCCAGACUCCUACGGGAGGAAGCAGUGGGGAAUAUUGGACAAGGGGCGCAGGCCUGAUGCGGCCAUGCCGCGUGUAUGAAGAGGGCCUCCGGGUUGUAAAGUACUUUCAGCGGGGAGGCGUUACCCGCAGAAGAAGCACCGGCUAACUCCGUGCCAGCAGCCGCGGUAAUAC
rnacentral:rRNA from 1 species